GAUGUAGUGCUCUCUGUCGUUGUUGGACUCAUAGUAGUAAAGGUUGAAGGUCUCCUUACAGGUGCCGGUGACUCCAGGCAAGCUGUUACAGUCCCGGAGGGUGAACUUGAUCUCGACGUAGAUGCGCUGCGCUCCAGACCGAGGGAUCCAGUCGGUUCUAAGCCAGUUGCUCUGGCUGGGUUCCAUCACGUUACACACCUGGACCACAUACCCCUCCUUCUGUUGGACUUGCCGCCCAUUUCAGCUCGCCAGGAACUGUCCUUGUGUCCAGUAACGUCUCUGAAACACACAGUUACAAACAGCCUACACCGGCCAAACACAGACGACGCUGGGGCAAUUGCGCACCGCCCUAUGGGACUCCAAGUCAAUGCCGGUUGGGAUACAUCCUGGAUUCAAACCAGGGUGUCUGUAGUGACACCUGAAGUAAUGAGAUGCAGUGCCUUAGACCACUGCAACAUUGACUCUGUACCGGUAUGCCCUAUAUAUAGCCUUGCUAUUGUUAUUUUACUGCUUCUCUAUUAUUAUUUGUUACUAUAAUUUCUUAUUUUUUUUACUUAAACCUGCAUUGUUAGUCAAGGGCUUGUAAGUAAGAUGUUCACUGUAAUGUCUGUAUUCGGCAUAUGUGACAAAUACAAUUUGAUUUGAUUUUAAAAAAACGUAGCGCAAAGGACGUAGGUCACUGCUGAAACCGAAAAUGUUUUUGACGUUUUACUUGUUAGAAAUGUGUCAUUUGUCAGAAUCUGGAGGUUUAA